rnacentral:rRNA from 1 species
UACGAGUGCUUCGAGCGUUAUCCGGAAUCAUUGGGCGUAAAGGGUGUGUAGGCGGUUAUGUUAGUCUCUCGUUAAAUUUUUCGGCUCAACCGGGGUCAUGCGGGGGAAACGGCAUAACUUGAGGAUGGAAGGGGUCUCUGGAACUCAUGGUGUAGCGGUGAAAUGCGUUGAUAUCAUGGGGAACACCGAAAGCGAAGGCAAGAGACUGGUCCACUCCUGACGCUGAAACACGAAAGCGUGGGUCGCGAAUGGG